AUGUGUGUGUGUGUGUAUGUGUGUGUGCGUGUAUACACAUUCCACAUGUUUAUGCACACACACACACACACACACACACACACACAU
rnacentral:miRNA from 1 species